AGCCCUCGUGAGUGGCAUUAGGCUUGACUGACUUACAAAAAAUCUUAACCAACUGUGUUCAGCCCUUUUCCCUUUCUGCCCUCUGCCAUGUGAGGUCACAGUGUUCCUCCCUCCUGAGGAUGCAGUGUUCAUGAAAGCAAACACUGGGCCCUCACCAGGCAACAAACCUGCUGGUGCCUUCAUCUUGGACUUCCCAGCCUUCGGAACUAUGGAGCCCGCACUCUCCAGUUCAUCACCACCCCAGCAUCCCUACUCUUGCAUCUAACAGUUUCCGCUAUUUUGCACCACCUGCCUGGCCCUUAUGGGCAACUCAAGGAAGAAAGGAAAGAAGAGAUAGAGGAAAAAUGGAUUCAACAAAUGAAAGUGUUCUUUCUGACUACUGCUGUGUUUACAAACAUUUUAAUCAUCAAAACAUGCUUUAUUUGAUAGAAAGAUCAAAUCUGCCUUUGUAAAACAAGAGACUAUUUUAAUCAUUAAGACAACACACAUGUUUGAUUUGGAGGCGUGUUCUCAUUCAAAACCUUGCAAAAUAUAAUUUCUUCUUGUCUGGGAGAUGGUGUCUUUCUUCGGGGAGAACCUUGAGAGAAAUGUCUAUGAAUGUGUCUGUAGAUUGAGGAUAGGCCAACAAACAUAUUUUGAAAUAUUUUUUCUUUCUUUUAAAAAAAUAGAUACUUUUAAAAGAAAAUGCUUAUUUAAAUUACAUAGCUCUUUUUUUCACUCUCAGUCAUCAUUUGUGGUUUCAGUCAGUACUACAUUUAUUCCCCAGAGCUAGGAUUGCUGUGUUUUUAGAAAGGGAGCCUGUUUGAAGGGACUCUAUACUCUUGCAGUAAUUAAAAUCCUUUUAGGAGUCUUUGACUUUGACUUACUGCUUUGUUUUAAAUUAUUGAAAUUAUUCAACUUCCCCAUUCUAACCCACGGAAGGCUGUUGUUGUUCUCAUUUAUAAUGGCACAAUAUAAGUUUAAAGAUAGCUGUCUCCACAUGAAUGCAUCUGCAAAUCCAUCUCUCUUCUCUCUUCUGCCAUCCAGGUUAAGAAGCUCCACUGCGCUUUGUCCAUUGCAAGUUGAGAAGUGAGGCCCCAGCUGUCACAUACAGCUCCAUCACAAGAGGGAGCCCCAUUGCUAGUCCCCAUCCUCAAAGCCUCUGCGUGAUGUUGUCUACUGUUACUCUUCACUACCCUGUGGGAGCCAAAGCCCUGGACAUAAGAACAGAAGGCAGUGGUGGCUGAGAGGAAGAACUGACACCUUUGUGCUAUCAGAGCACUUUGCAGAGGAGCUGUUAGUGGCCCUGUAGGAGUCUGCUGGCCAUACAUCUGGGUGUCAAAUCAAGAGAGCAUGAGAAGUUGGACAGGAAAGGUCCAAGGCAAAAUGGUUACUAAAGGCCAUCCCUGAUCCUGACCCUAAAAGAAGAAAAGGCCCUUUGCUCUUGGCAUGCUUUUGCAGGAGUGUCUCAGUCUGUUUGGGCUGCUAUAACAUUGACUGGGUGAUCUGCCUGCCUGGCCUCCCAAAGUGCUGGGGUUACAGGUGUGAGCCGCUGCACCAGGCCUUGAGGUCAGGAGUUCGAGACCAGCCUGGCCAACAUGGUGAAACCUGUCUUUACUAAAAAUACAGAAAUUAGCCAGGCAUGGAGGCGCAUGCCUGUAAUCCCAGCUACUGGGGAGGCUGAGGCAGGAGAAUCGCUUGAACCCAGAAGGUGGAGGUUGCGGUGAGCCCAGAUAGUGCCAUUGCACUCUAGCCUGGCCAACAAGAGUGAAACUCUGUCUCAAAAAAUAAAUAAACAAACAAACAAACAACAAC
rnacentral:lncRNA from 1 species